rnacentral:rRNA from 1 species
ACUCCGGAACUGCCAUUGAAACUGUGAAACUUGAGGACGAGAGAGGUGAGUGGAAUUCCCAGUGUAGAGGUGAAAUUCGUAGAUAUUGGGAAGAACACCGGUGGCGAAGGCGGCUCACUCGCUCGUUUCUGACGCUCAGGCGCGACAGCGUGGGGAUCAAACAGGAUUAGAUACCCUGGUAGUCCACGCCGUAAACGAUGAACGCUAGCCGUUGGGUAGCUUGCUAUUCAGUGGCGCAGCUAACGCAUUAAGCGUUCCGCCUGGGGAGUACGGCCGCAAGGUUGAAACUCAAAGGAAUUGACGGGGGCCCGCACAAGCGGUGGAGCAUGUGGUUUAAUUCGACGCAACGCGCAGAUCCUUACCAGGGUUUGACAUCCUGAGACCGCCCUCUAAUAGGGGUUUUCCCGCAAGGG